AACAGGCCAGAGCCCGGCAGCAGAAGCUUGCACUAUAAACGCUCCCUCCGCGCGGCGGACACAGGUCCAGGCUGGUACCGCGCGCACACGGACGCCUCGCAGGACCUGGGCUAAUAAGGAGAGGAGAUCAGCACGGUAUAGCUGCGGACCAACUGUAUAUGAUCAUGCGCACCUUGGCCAUGCUUGCUCAUAUGUUAGAUUUGAUAUCAUUCGAAGGAUCCUAACCAAGGUUUUUGGAUGCAACAUAGUCAUGGUGAUGGGUAUUACGGAUGUAGAUGACAAAAUCAUCAAAAGAGCCAAUGAGAUGAAUAUUUCCCCUGCUUCCCUCGCCAGUCUUUAUGAGGAAGACUUCAAGCAGGACAUGGCAGCCCUGAAGGUUCUCCCACCCACAGUGUACCUGAGGGUAACCGAAAAUAUUCCUCAGAUAAUUUCUUUCAUUGAAGGAAUCAUUGCUCGUGGGCACGCUUAUUCAACGGCAAAAGGCAAUGUCUACUUUGAUCUGAAGUCUAGAGGAGACAAGUAUGGCAAACUGGUCAGCGUGGUCCCUGGUCCAGUCGGAGAGGCAGCGGACUCU
rnacentral:sRNA from 1 species